AGAUCUUGACAUCCUCGGAAGGUGAUGGAAAUAUCACCGUGCCCUCGGGAACCGAGUGACAGGUGGUGCAUGGCUGUCGACAGCUCGUGUCGUGAGAUGUUGGGUUAAGUCCCGCAACGAGCGCAACCCCUAUCGCUAGUUGCCAUCAUUAAGUUGGGGACUCUAGCGAGACUGCCUGCGAAGAGCAGGAGGAAGGUGGGGAUGACGUCAAGUCAUCAUGCCCCUUAUGAUCUGGGCUACACACGUGCUACAAUGGCUGGUACAGAGAGCCGCAAUGCAGCAAUGCUUAGCUAACCUCUAAAGCCAGUCCAAGUUCGGAUUGAAGUCUGCAACUCGACUUCAUGAAGUUGGAAUCGCUAGUAAUCGCGGAUCAGCAAUGCCGCGGUGAAUACGUUCUCGGGUC
rnacentral:rRNA from 1 species